GUCCACGCCGUAAACGAUGUCUACUAGCCGUUGGGUGACUUGAUCACUUAGUGGCGCAGCUAACGCGAUAAGUAGACCGCCUGGGGAGUACGGUCGCAAGAUUAAAACUCAAAUGAAUUGACGGGGGCCCGCACAAGCGGUGGAGCAUGUGGUUUAAUUCGAAGCAACGCGAAGAACCUUACCUACUCUUGACAUCCAGUGAACUUAGCAGAGAUGCUUUGGUGCCUUCGGGAACACUGAGAC
rnacentral:rRNA from 1 species